rnacentral:rRNA from 1 species
UACGGGGGGGCAAGCGUUGUUCGGCAUUCCUGGGCGUAAAGGGCUCGUAGGCGGCCAACUAAGUCAUACGUGAAAUCCCUCGGCUUAACCGGGGAACUGCGUCUGAUACUGGAUGGCUUGAGUUCGGGAGAGGGAUGCGGAAUUCCAGGUGUAGCGGUGAAAUGCGUAGAUAUCUGGAGGAACACCGGUGGCGAAGGCGGCAUCCUGGACCGAUACUGACGCUGAGGAGCGAAAGCCAGGGGAGCAAACGGG